GACGUAGGUGGCGAGCGUUGUUCGGAAUCACUGGGCAUAAAGCGCACGUAGGCGGCCAUAUAAGUCGGGUGUGAAAGCCCUCGGCUCAACCGAGGAACUGCGCCCGAUACUGCAUGGCUUGAGGUCCGGAGGGGAGAGUGGAAUUCCCGGUGGAGCGGUGAAAUGCGUAGAGAUCGGGAAGAACGCCGGCGGCGAAAGCGACUCUCUGGUCGGAAUCUGACGCUGAGGUGCGAAAGCUAGGGGAGCAAACGGG
rnacentral:rRNA from 1 species